GGUCAGGCUGCUUUGCACCCCGGGCUCCAGGCAGGGUGUGGGGCGACUGGCACCCAACGGCGACCUGUCCUGCGACAUCAGGUCCAUAAACUCCUUGCAAAUCUCCCUGAAGACAUUAAAUGAGAAUAAGUAGAAGUGAUUGAACCGCUUGAAGAUCUUGACUCACUUGGUGGCAUGCAGCAUACUGCGUCGUGUGGGCAGCUGAUCUGGGUCACUUUGUCUGCACAGAUACUCAGCUGUGGCCCGGGCAGGGAACUCGGUCUCGCACACAUACCCGAAGUCCCGUGCGAGGUGAACCGCCUCACCUGAGAAGAGAGCGUGAAGAUUGAAAAAAUGGAACUUGAAUGUGCUGACUCAAAACUUGAGUACCUUCCACCAGCGCUGUGAGGAGUGUGACGUUGGCUGCCUUUCGUCGACCGGCAGGCAGGUUGAGGCCGAUCUUCUCCAGACGUUCUCGCAGACAGCGGCCCCCGUUUUUGGACUUGGCUCUGAAGGAGAAAAGGACUCCUCCCAGCAGUGAGGCGUUGAGGCACUCAGGUGGAGCCAGGCGUCUCUGGACUUCUCCAACUGUGACCUUGUACUUAGAGGUGGAGCUGAGGAGCGACAAGCGGCCCGGGACAGAGCAGAAAACCUCUGCAGGGUUGGACACACAUCCCAAACCCAGGCCUUCUUUAGUGAGGGACAAGGCAGAGACCGCUGAGCCAUUUAGCUUUGAUGGGACUGGAACUGUAAGAAGAAACAGAAAGCAGUUUAGGGUUUGUGUGCCACCACAGGUGAGUGAAAUCUUAUUUUAAAGAAAGUGACGAUUUAUAAAAAUGUGAUAAUUUGUGCUUUUGGAUUCGCCCCUAUGUUCGAAAACCUUUUUAAGAUGCUCUCCCACAGGUUGACAUCUGUUGUCUCAGUGACACUGUGUUUAAUUUCUGUUUCUCACUCUUUAUCUUCAAAUGGGUGUUGCAUCUCCAUUGGGGGAAAGCUUUAUUCCAUCUGUUGUGCACACAGUCAUUUUCACUUGUUGUGUUGGUAAUUAAAGUUUUCUGGCAUCUUAAAAAUCUGACUUUCAAAUGAACCCAACGAUUACUGUGCCGAAAAUAACACAAUGUAAUAAAAUGGCAAACAUAAAACAGAAAAUUAGGCUGUUAUGCAUUAACCCAUUUUAAAGCAGACAUUGUAUAAAGAUUUGUGCCCCAGUAAACCAAGGCACUUAAAGGAAUGAGACCUAAACCUCCAUUCAAACUCUAAUAAUGAUUAGUGUUCUGGGAAGAACAGACUAUCAUUGGCUUUUAAUUUGGGCUUGAGUAUUUUUGUUACAUCAUUCCUAAAAACCUUCAUUUGUUUUCAAAAGAUUAGCCUCUAUGCAGACACUUAAUCGAGCAUUUGCUUAUGGCACAUCUGUGUGGGCUGGAUUUUCAAGCACACUUCAAUAGAACUAGAGAAAAUGCAGAGUAUGCAUGUAUUAGGAAAAUCUGCUACAUGGGUGUAUGAAUUAUUCAAAAAGUGGAGGGUUGGGGGGAACAUUCUGGCUAAGAAAAAACUGCCCAAGGUGACUCUGUUUACCUGGCUUGGUUGGUCUGUUGGCUGGUUUUAGAGAGAUUCGGGCACCUUUAGCUUGAUAGGGCUAAGAGACCAGGUAAGCAACAGCUUUGCCAAGCUAGGAAACCAUCUAAACUAACUCCAGCGUUAGUUUACCCAAAUAAACCAUGGUUUUAUUAUAGGCCUGUUAGUUUAACCGUUUUUCUACAGAUACAAUGGUUAAAUUAGUUAGUGUAACAAAAUCAUGGUUAAUUUGUGGUUGCCAUGGUUUAACAAUAUUUGGGGUUUUAUUUGACCCAAAUUGGGUUGAAAAAACCCCUCCACCUAUAUUUGUUCUAAAGAACCCAACAAAAUAUUCAAGAAGCCUAACAAAGUUAAAAAAAUUUGUUUACUUUUUUGUUUGUUUUUAAUUAGCUUAAAAAACUCAAACGCUACAAGUCGCGUUUGUUUAAAGUAGGCCUACGUUUUAGGUUAAAAAUGCAGUUUAUUUUAAAGAACACGUCGACGACAAUAUAAGUAGGCUACAAGAAGGCCUUCUUUAAGACUAUUAGAAGACAGUUAGAAAACUACACUGAAAAAAAUUAAUCUGAGUGGAUGUAAAUGUUAAGUAAUUAAAAUGCGUGAUAUCAACAAUAAAAUGUUAAGUUUGUGUCUUUACUUUAAUAUAUCUAGUUUUAAAUUAAUCUGCAUUUGUUCAAAAAACAAGAAAAUGUGUAUUUUAUUCCUUUACUAAAUUAAUCUAAGUAAUCCCAGCCAAGCUUUUUAGGUACACACGCACAACAAACAAUACCUUGUUUUAUUUACUCACUUGGUAAAAAAAAAAAAAAAAAAACUCCCCUUCCUGUUUCGUUGGUCUGGAAACCCCUUGCAUUCCUAACGAAGACGAACACGCGGACUGAAUUUAAGGUGAUUCUCCUGACAAUAGGCUACACUGGAUAAAGGUUUGUGAUGACGAUGAUGCUGCAGCCAUCCAAGAGGCCAUCACUUCAUUUGUGCUCAACAUCUUUGUGGUCAGCAAAGCCAGGGAUGGAGGUCUCGAGAAGAAAGUUGGAAUAGCCAUUGAGGGAGCGGAGGUCCUUUUUUGCAUUCCCAGUGUAGCACAUGCUUGCUCCUACCUUAUGGGCCUUAUUUAUGCUUUGGAACUAAGCUACCCAGAGAAACUUAAAUACACCUUUGAGGUAUUUCAGAAGAUCUUCCUGGAGCUGGAGGAUGUUAACAAAAACAUGUCCUCCAAAAUCCACGAUCACAAGAUCAGCUUACUGGCCUAAAAGCGAUACAGACAUUGUUGAAUGUAGAGGGUUUGAGUCCCUCUGGUAAAGUUUUACUGUUCAAUUUCUCAGGUCUUUUUCAGUGCACUUUCUCAAGUCACACUAAUCCUAUUUCAUAUAGGGACCAUGUUUGUGAGUGUUAAUGUUAAAGGUGCAGUUGAAGGAAAGAUGACAGUUAAGAAGUCAGAAACUAUAUUGCACAAUGUGAGUUUUUUUCAAUAGAAACCCAAAGAAACUGAAAUGUAGGUUUCUUAGAAGAUCUCCAUUGUCACACGGGGAUCAUACAUAUGAUCAUACAUGUGCAAGCGUGUUGUUUUAAAGUCUUAAGAGUAUGUUACUGUACAGGACUGAAAAACGCAAUUUUAUAGAAAAUAUUCUGUAAAUGUGUCUGAAUGGUUUCUUAUGAAGACAAUAAAGCCUGUCAACUUUCACUUAA